rnacentral:rRNA from 1 species
GCAAGUCGAACGGUAACAGAACUAGCUUGCUAGUUGCUGACGAGCGGCGGACGGGUGAGUAAUGCUUGGGAACAUGCCUUGAGGUGGGGGACAACAGUUGGAAACGACUGCUAAUACCGCAUAAUGUCUACGGACCAAAGGGGGCUUCGGAUCUCGCCUUUAGAUUGGCACAAGUGGGAUUAGCUAGUUGGUGAGGUAAUGGCUCACCAAGGCGACGAUCCCUAGCUGGUUUGAGAGGACGAUC